UACGUAGGGGGCUAGCGUUGUCCGGAAUUAUUGGGCGUAAAGAGCGUGUAGGCGGCCAGGUAGGUCGGUUGUGAAAACUGGAGGCUCAACCUUCAGAGGUCGACCGAAACCAUCUGGCUAGAGUCCGGGAGAGGAGAGUGGAAUUCCUGGUGUAGCGGUGAAAUGCGCAGAUAUCAGGAAGAACACCCGUGGCGAAAGCGGCUCUCUGGAACGGUACUGACGCUGAGACGCGAAAGCGUGGGGAGCGAACAGG
rnacentral:rRNA from 1 species